AUGUAGAUACAAAUUCAGCCCAUUGAUAGAUAAAUAUUGAGGCCAUGAUUUCGAGAUAAGUCCCCAAUCUCUUGUCACAUUCACAAUCAACCCAUACAUGCACCCAUGCCUGGACCAAUAUGGCUAGGAAGAUUAUCAAUUUUACGUUUGUUGUUUUCCUCGACCACUAGGUUUCAUUUAUCUUGUGGUCCGAACAAUGAAUUAUUA
rnacentral:lncRNA from 1 species